AUGUCUCUCUGUCUCUCUGUGUGGUAUAUUCAGCUGGUACUCUGCCAUGUCUCUCUGUCUCUCUGUGUGGUAUAUUCAGCUGGUACUCUGCCAUGUCCCUCUGUCUCUCUGUGUGGUAUAUUCAGCUGGUACUCUGCCAUGUCUCUCUGUCUCUCUGUGUGGUAUAUUCAGCUGGUACUCUGCCAUGUCUCUCUGUCUCUCUGUGUGGUAUAUUCAGCUGGUACUCUGCCAUGUCUCUCUGUCUCUCUGUGUGGUAUAUUCAGCUGGUACUCUGCCAUGUCCCUCUGUCUCUCUGUGUGGUAUAUUCAGCUGGUACUCUGCCAUGUCUCUCUGUGUGGUAUAUUCAGCUGGUACUCUGCCAUGUCCCUCUGUAUAUUCAGCUGGUACUCUGCCAUGUCUCUCUGUCUCUCUGUGUGGUAUAUUCAGCUGGUACUCUGCCAUGUCUCUCUGUCUCUCUGUGUGGUAUAUUCAGCUGGUACUCUGCCAUGUCUCUCUGUCUCUCUGUAUGGUAUAUUCAGCUGGUACUCUGAGGUAUUGAUCUCAGCUUCAGUAUCCUGCUGCUUGUGGGUGGACAGACAGACAGACAGGAAGGCACUCAGACAGUCUAACAGACGAACAGGAAGACAGGCUGGCAGACAGACAGGCAGGCAGGCUGAUAGACAGGCAGACAGACGAACAGGCAGGCUGACAGGCAGGCAGGCAGGCAGACAGACAGACAGACAGGCAGGCAGACUGUCUGUCUGUCUGUCUGUCUGUCUGUCUGUCUGUCUGUGAUAUCACCAUUAUAAGUUGGGUUGUUUCGUUGGCAAUGUUACUUCCUGCUUCCUGUCUGUGUACAGAGAAGGACAGGUGACCAUGCAUUCUCUAGCAGCUCCACUGAACAAUUAUACAGGCAUGAUUCACUGUCAAACCACUAGGUCUUUCUAGUCCGGCUGCUCCGUCCACCUGCUGCACUGAGGAGGUCAGUCCUUUGAAUGUGACCGUCACUGCAGAGGCCUGUCACGGGUCAGUGGAGAGAGAGUGUGCCCCUAGGCCUGGAGGGGUAGCACACAGCUGUGAAGGUAUUGCCUGUUUUCUCUUACUCUGCAGUCUCUCUCUCUCCCCCCCUCUCUCUCUAUCUUUCUUUCUCUCUCACUCUCUCACUCUCUCUCUCUGUGUGUCUCUCUCCUUCUCCCUCUGCCUCCCUCCCUCUCUCUCUGCAGUGAUCUUAUGUAAUCUGAUUGAUUUUAGGGGAAUGUGCUGGUGUGCAGACAAGAGGCAGCUGAGGGGAGGGUAAGGGCUAGAUGAGGGGAGGAGAAAGUGGACCCAGAGGAAAAGAAGGUUAGAUGAGGGGAGGAGGAAGUGGAGAGGAGGUAGAAGUGCUAGAUGAGAGGAGGAGGAAGUGGAGGAAGAGGAGAGGUAGAAGGGCUAGAUGAGGGGAGGUAGAAGGGCUAGAUGAGGAGAGGAGGUCAAAGAGCUCAGACAGACUUGACUGAAUGGGGUCUGAUCUGCAUCACAACAGACUGCUUGUUUGCUUAUCUUGAAACAUUCACUUACAGGAUUCUGAUCCGUCAUCAGUCGCUUAAUAAUGUAUUAGUGUCGCAGGGAGUCAAUCAAUUCACAUUCAACAUGCAUUAGUGGAAAGACCGUUAUAUUGCUGGACUGGCAUUAGAUCUGUAAGUGGUUUGAACAUACAGUCUGGACGGUUACAUACAGCAGACGUUCUUAUCCUUAACACUCUUAUCCAGAACAACUUACCCAACCCCCCCCCCCCCCCGUGGGGAAUCAAACCCACGGCCCUGGCGUUGCAAGCGCCCUGGUCUACCAACUGAGCCACGUGGGACCUUUUGGACUUGGAUAUGUGGGGAACUGGAAGCCUUGUUGUGACUAUUUCCAAGGCCUUGUUGUGACUAUUUCC
rnacentral:lncRNA from 1 species